rnacentral:pre_miRNA from 1 species
AGUGGUAUAGCUGGGUCAAAUGGUGGUUCCAUUCCCAAUUUUUUAAGGAAUCCUCAUACUGCUUUCUAGAUUGGUUGCACCAAUUUACAGUCCCACCAUCCGU